AAAGUGUGGCAAUAAUUGAAAAGAGUGGUUAGACAGCAUUUAUCAUUUAUUUUGAGUAGUUUGAUGAUGAAAGGGUUGUUUGUUGGAAAACGGUGGUUCAUAUAAUUCCUCUUGAAACGAUUGAACCCACAUAGCCACCCCUCAUCAAUGAAAUAAAUUUUUAAGCAUAACCAUAACCUGUCUCAGCUUCUGAAACUGAAACCAAAGGUGAAGAAAAAGGAGAGGAUGAUGGAGCUGUUGGUGUUAUGUUUCACAGGAAUUUUGGCAUUCCUUCACGGGGCACGCUUCUUUCUCCAUAUUCUUACCCAACACAUUGCUCUUCCUUCUAUAUCUCUAAGCUUCUUGGGCUUCGCUGCCUGGUAGAGUCCAUGGAUUCUGGGCACAACAACCGUGACCAGCACUCAUAUAUCAACAGUUGAAAAACCGUCUUAAUAAACCCAAUUUAACCGUUGUUAAAAUGUUGUGUACUAUAGUCAGUACUUUCCCUUGGACAUUGGACAUAGAACACUAACAAUUCAUGCACCAAAUUAUAAGCUUGUCAAUAAAGUGACUGUGGAGGACAACUUCAUGGGCUCAGAGGUUCAAUUCUUAUCUAUUUUGUUUU